CUGGAACUGCCUUCUCGUCUGCUGUUAACAACGCACGCAAAAACGAGGAAAGGUUGUAAUGGAGAAAUAGAGGCGCGGUGACUGGGAGAAAUAAGGGAACGCCUCCCUAAUGCUGGUUCAAUGAGAGUCAUAUGACAUCUGUUACCCCUUGACUCCACAAUUACCUCCUAUGGGAAAUGUUGUGGGUCAUCUCCAGUCUUGGGCUCCCCCAAUAUCCACCAGCAUCCUCUCUCAGCAAUAAAGACUGGACUAACAGCGGAGGAUACCUUGUCUCGGGGCCAAGCUGGAUUUCAGUGCUGUCAACUUUUUAUUUUACCUGUCAGAAUGGAAACGGACAUACAAGGGUUUGUUUGCCCCUCUGACGUCUUUAGCCACAUAGGCUGUGAGAGGAAAUAGACAGAGAGCAGAUUUUAAGGACCCCACACCUCUUAAUGGUAUGCUUCGUAUGAGAGUGUGGGAUUUGGAGGGCCAAGUAACUCUUCCUUGUCUUCUUCCUCCUGAGACAUCAUUUACUCUUAUAAAGAAAAAUGUGGAAGAAAAAGUGAUCGGAGCUGUAGCUGGAUAUAAAAGUCUCAGUUCUCACAGUUCUCCACCUCAGGAAAGAUGAUGUUCAAUACUGGGCUGGCAAACGGGGGGGGGGAAGGUAAAGAAAAUCCUCCGACCUUCUAAAUCAGUGAAACCAGAUGUUUGGUGUUCUGGUUUUUCUUUAAAUCUUCCGGAUGUGACAGUUUAAAAGUAUAAUGUGUAUUUGAUCUCUAGUAAUGUGUAAAAUCUAAUUCCGGAAGAAAUUAGUUCAAUGCAAAAUCAAAACUGAAUCAAAACUGAACUGCCUAAACAUUGCAGUUCCUUGCCGAGAUGUAGGCCUCUGAAGGAAAACUUCCAUGUGUUUCAGUGCUGAUUUCAAAAGUCUAACCAUUUCUCUAAUGUAUAUGUUCAGCUAAGCCAAAUCCACACAAUGACAUCAGAUUAUAUGUCUCAAAACCAUGAAAAUA